UACGAAGGGGGCGAGCGUUGUUCGGAUUUACUGGGCGUAAAGGGCGCGUAGGCGCUUGUCAGUCAGGCGUGAAAGCCCCGGGCUCAACCUGGGAACGGCGCUUGGGACGGCGAGGCUGGAGUUCGGGAGAGGAGAGUGGAAUUCCCAGUGUAGAGGUGAAAUUCGUAGAUAUUGGGAAGAACACCGGUGGCGAAGGCGGCUCUCUGGACCGACACUGACGCUGAGGCGCGAAAGCGUGGGUAGCAAACAGG
rnacentral:rRNA from 1 species